rnacentral:rRNA from 1 species
GGUUAAGCGACUAAGCGUACACGGUGGAUGCCCUGGCAGUCAGAGGCGAUGAAGGACGUGCUAAUCUGCGAAAAGCGCCGGCGAGGUGAUAUGAACCCUUGACCCGGCGAUGUCCGAAUGGGGAAACCCAGUGCAAUCCGUUGCACUAUCGUUAACUGAAUACAUAGGUUAACGAGGCGAACCGGGGGAACUGAAACAUCUAAGUACCCCGAGGAAAAGAAAUCAACCGAGAUUCCCCCAGUAGCGGCGAGCGAACGGGGAGCAGCCCAGAGUCUGAAUCAGCUUGUGUGUUAGUGGAAGCGUCUGGAAAGUCGCACGGUACAGGGUGAAAGUCCCGUACACGAAAAUGCACAGGCUGUGAACUCGAAGAGUAGGGCGGGACACGUGGUAUCCUGUCUGAAUAUGGGGGGACCAUCCUCCAAGGCUAAAUACUCCUGACUGACCGAUAGUGAACCAGUACCGUGAGGGAAAGGCGAAAAGAACCCCGGCGAGGGGAGUGAAAAAGAACCUGAAACCGUGUACGUACAAGCAGUGGGAGCACCUUCGGGUGUGACUGCGUACCUUUUGUAUAAUGGGUCAGCGACUUAUAUUCUGUAGCAAGGUUAACCGUAUAGGGGAGCCGAAGGGAAACCGAGUCUUAACUGGGCGUUAAGUUGCAGGGUAUAGACCCGAAACCCGGUGAUCUAGCCAUGGGCAGGUUGAAGGUUGGGUAACACUAACUGGAGGACCGAACCGACUAAUGUUGAAAAAUUAGCGGAUGACCUGUGGCUGGGGGUGAAAGGCCAAUCAAACCGGGAGAUAGCUGGUUCUCCCCGAAAGCUAUUUAGGUAGCGCCUCGUGAACUCAUCUUCGGGGGUAGAGCACUGUUUCGGCUAGGGGGCCAUCCCGGCUUACCAACCCGAUGCAAACUACGAAUACCGAAGAAUGUUAUCACGGGAGACACACGGCGGGUGCUAACGUCCGUCGUGAAGAGGGAAACAACCCAGACCGCCAGCUAAGGUCCCAAAGUCAUGGUUAAGUGGGAAACGAUGUGGGAAGGCCCAGACAGCCAGGAUGUUGGCUUAGAAGCAGCCAUCAUUUAAAGAAAGCGUAAUAGCUCACUGGUCGAGUCGGCCUGCGCGGAAGAUGUAACGGGGCUAAACCAUGCACCGAAGCUGCGGCAGCGACACUAUGUGUUGUUGGGUAGGGGAGCGUUCUGUAAGCCGUUGAAGGUGGCCUGUGAGGGUUGCUGGAGGUAUCAGAAGUGCGAAUGCUGACAUAAGUAACGAUAAAGCGGGUGAAAAGCCCGCUCGCCGGAAGACCAAGGGUUCCUGUCCAACGUUAAUCGGGGCAGGGUGAGUCGACCCCUAAGGCGAGGCCGAAAGGCGUAGUCGAUGGGAAACAGGUUAAUAUUCCUGUACUUGGUGUUACUGCGAAGGGGGGACGGAGAAGGCUAUGUUAGCCGGGCGACGGUUGUCCCGGUUUAAGCAUGUAGGCGGAGGUUCCAGGUAAAUCCGGUACCUUUUAACGCUGAGGUGUGAUGACGAGGCACUACGGUGCUGAAGUAACAAAUGCCCUGCUUCCAGGAAAAGCCUCUAAGCAUCAGGUAACACGAAAUCGUACCCCAAACCGACACAGGUGGUCAGGUAGAGAAUACCAAGGCGCUUGAGAGAACUCGGGUGAAGGAACUAGGCAAAAUGGUGCCGUAACUUCGGGAGAAGGCACGCUGAUAUGUAGGUGAAGCCCCUGCGGGUGGAGCUGAAAUCAGUCGAAGAUACCAGCUGGCUGCAACUGUUUAUUAAAAACACAGCACUGUGCAAACACGAAAGUGGACGUAUACGGUGUGACGCCUGCCCGGUGCCGGAAGGUUAAUUGAUGGGGUUAGCGGUAACGCGAAGCUCUUGAUCGAAGCCCCGGUAAACGGCGGCCGUAACUAUAACGGUCCUAAGGUAGCGAAAUUCCUUGUCGGGUAAGUUCCGACCUGCACGAAUGGCGUAAUGAUGGCCAGGCUGUCUCCACCCGAGACUCAGUGAAAUUGAACUCGCUGUGAAGAUGCAGUGUACCCGCGGCAAGACGGAAAGACCCCGUGAACCUUUACUAUAGCUUGACACUGAACACUGGUCCUUGAUGUGUAGGAUAGGUGGGAGGCUUUGAAGCGUGGACGCCAGUCUGCGUGGAGCCGUCCUUGAAAUACCACCCUUUAAUGGCUGGUGUUCUAACGUAGACCCGUAAUCCGGGUUGCGGACAGUGUCUGGUAGGUAGUUUGACUGGGGCGGUCUCCUCCCAAAGAGUAACGGAGGAGCACGAAGGUUAGCUAAUCCUGGUCGGACAUCAGGAGGUUAGUGCAAUGGCAUAAGCUAGCUUGACUGCGAGAGUGACGGCUCGAGCAGGUGCGAAAGCAGGUCAUAGUGAUCCGGUGGUUCUGAAUGGAAGGGCCAUCGCUCAACGGAUAAAAGGUACUCCGGGGAUAACAGGCUGAUACCGCCCAAGAGUUCAUAUCGACGGCGGUGUUUGGCACCUCGAUGUCGGCUCAUCACAUCCUGGGGCUGAAGUAGGUCCCAAGGGUAUGGCUGUUCGCCAUUUAAAGUGGUACGCGAGCUGGGUUUAGAACGUCGUGAGACAGUUCGGUCCCUAUCUGCCGUGGGCGCUGGAGAAUUGAGGGGGGCUGCUCCUAGUACGAGAGGACCGGAGUGGACGCAUCACUGGUGUUCGGGUUGUCAUGCCAAUGGCACUGCCCGGUAGCUAAAUGCGGAAGAGAUAAGUGCUGAAAGCAUCUAAGCACGAAACUUGCCCCGAGAUGAGUUCUCCCUGAGACUUAAAGUCUCCUGAAGGAACGUUGAAGACGACGACGUUGAUAGGUCGGGUGUGUAAGCGCAGCGAUGCGUUGAGCUAACCGAUACUAAUGAACCGUGAGGCUUAACCUU